rnacentral:rRNA from 1 species
GAUGAACGCUGGCGGCGUGCUUAACACAUGCAAGUCGAACGGAAAGGCUCCUGCUUGCAGGGGUACUCGAGUGGCGAACGGGUGAGGAACACGUGGGUGAUCUGCCCUGCACUUCGGGAUAAGCCUGGGAAACUGGGUCUAAUAUCGGAUAGGACGAUGGUUUGGAUGCCAUUGUGGAAAGGUUUUCGGUGUGGGAUGAGCUCGCGGCCUAUCAGCUUGUUGGUGGGGUAAUGGCUUACCAAGGCGUCGACGGGUAGCCGGCCUUGGAGGGUGGACGGCCACAAUGGGCCUGAGAGACGGACCAGACUGCAACGGGAGGCAGCGGUGGGGAGUAUUGCACAGUGAGCGCGAGCCUGUUGCGACGGCGCCGGGUGGGGGAUGACGGCCUUCGGGUUGUAAACACCUUUCGCUAGAGACGAAGCGCAAGUGACGGUACCUGGAGAAGAAGCACCGGCUAACUACGUG